rnacentral:rRNA from 1 species
UACGUAGGGUGCGAGCGUUAAUCGGAAUUACUGGGCGUAAAGCGCGCGUAGGCGGCUGUCUAAGUCGGAUGUGAAAUCCCCGGGCUUAACCUGGGAACUGCAUUUGUGACUGCAUCGCUGGAGUGCGGCAGAGGGGGAUGGAAUUCCGCGUGUAGCAGUGAAAUGCGUAGAUAUGCGGAGGAACACCGAUGGCGAAGGCAAUCCCCUGGGCCUGCACUGACGCUCAUGCACGAAAGCGUGGGGAGCAAACAGG